rnacentral:lncRNA from 1 species
GCUAACCUAUGUUCCCAAAAGACGAAGUGAAAGAUAUUCCAGCAGAUGACAAAACUCAAGUCAAAAGAGCUGCCUUGUGAAGGAGCCUGGGCCAGCCUGCUGAAGGAUGAGAGACCUCAUGGAGGAAAAUCCUAGUGCCCUGACCAACGAUCAGCCAGACCCCAGAAUCAGAGGCACCCAGCUGCCCUGACACCCACCACAGACACAUAAGAGAGUGUACUCAAGACCAGAAGAAGAAUCCAGUUGACCAGUGGACUGGGGGAGUCUCCAACCUUUGAAUCUUGGCUGGUCUUGUGACUUGCUUUGACUAAUAGAAUGUGGCAGAAACAGCACUGUACAAGUUUCAAAGCCUUGCAGCUUCUGUCUCCGCCAUCAUGGAAUGCUUCCCUGAGACCAUGUAAGGAAGCUACUCUAGCCUGCCGGAGGAGGAGAAGCCAUGCGGGAGAAGCAUGGCAUCAUGGCCCACACUUAGCAUCAGCUGCCAAAUAUACAAGUGAGCCUCUCUGGGACCUUCCAACCCAACUGACCCUCCAGCAUCCAGCAUUUUGAGUUCAGGCAGAAGCAGCAGAGGAGCCACC